rnacentral:rRNA from 1 species
GACGAACGCUGGCGGCGUGCUUAACACAUGCAAGUCGAACGGAAAUGCCCUGCUUUUUUGGGUUGCGCGAGUGGGGAACGGGUGAGUAAGACGCGAGUAACCUACCCUUGACUUUGGGCGAGCUUCAGGUAAGUGAGGAUAACACAUGACAGGAGCUCCUGCUGCUCGGAGGGGGGGGGAAAGUAUCGGCGGUGGGGGUUGGACUCGCGGCUUAUCCGCUUGUUGGUGGGGUAGUGGCUUACCAAGGCUUUGACGGAUAGCCGGCCUGGGAGGGUGACCGGCGACAUUGGGACUGAGAUACGGCCCAGACUCGUACGGGAGGCAGCAGUGGGGAAUAUUGCACAAUGGGCGGGAGCGUGAUGCAGCAACGCCGCGUGCGGGAUGACGGCUUUCGGGGUGUGAACCGCUUUCGCCUGUGAUGAAGCGUGAGUGACGGUAAUGGGUAAAGAAGCACCGGCUAACUACGUG